rnacentral:rRNA from 1 species
UACGGAGGGUGCAAGCGUUAUCCGGAUUUAUUGGGUUUAAAGGGUACGUAGGCGGUGGAGUAAGUCAGUGGUGAAAGCCAACAGCUCAACUGUUGAACUGCCAUUGAUACUGCUUCACUUGAGUGCAGUUGAGGUGGGUGGAAUUCCAUGUGUAACGGUGAAAUGCUUAGAUAUAUGGAGGAACACCGAUAACGAAGGUAACUCACUAAACUGUAACUGACGCUGAGGUACGAAAGCGUGGGGAGAAACGGG